rnacentral:rRNA from 1 species
UAGGGAAUCUUCGGCAAUGGGGGGAACCCUGACCGAGCAACGCCGCGUGAGUGAAGAAGGUUUUCGGAUCGUAAAGCUCUGUUGUUAAGGAAGAACGAGUGUGAGAAUGGAAAGUUCAUACUGUGACGGUAUCUAACCAGAAAGCCACGGCUAACUACGUGCCAGCAGCCGCGGUAAUACGUAGGUGGCAAGCGUUGUCCGGAUUUAUUGGGCGUAAAGCGAGCGCAGGCGGUCAAUUAAGUCUGAUGUGAAAGCCCCCGGCUCAACCGGGGAGGGUCAUUGGAAACUGGUUGACUUGAGUGCAGAAGAGGAGAGUGGAAUUCCAUGUGUAGCGGUGAAAUGCGUAGAUAUAUGGAGGAACACCAGUGGCGAAGGCGACUCUCUGGUCUGUAACUGACGCUGAGGUUCGAAGGCGUGGGUAGCAAACAGG